UGCGAGGAGGGGAGGACGGGGGAAGUAGGUAACGGGGGGAACUGGAAGAGGAGGAUGGGCCCUGGAGCAGAGCACAGGCGCCGUGGGCCUGGAGAACGAGCCGGGGACUGGAACCUGGUUGAAGGGGUCGGCAGAGUCACUCGGCUGGAGCCUUCCAGACCAAGGCAAAGCUCUGAGGGGCCGGGCUAGCCCAGACCCAUAUGCCCAGGAACUGGUUUCUCACACAGCCUACCGUUCCGAGUGGGCAAUGAAGAUCCAAAGAUCGGGGCUGGAGAGAUGGCUGGCGCAGCAGUUAAGCCUACUGAUUGUUUCCCCUGGGUUUGGUUACCAGCACCCACAUGGUGCCUCACAACCGUCCGUAAUUCCACUUCCCAGCGAUCCAAAGCCCUCUUCUGACCUCCAUGGACACCAGGCAUACCUGUGUGAUGAGCCUUCAUCUGUGCAGGCAGACACUCAAACACAUAAGAUACGAAUAAAUAGCUAUUUUUGGUUGCUUUGCUGUAGGUUCGGUUCUCCUGCACACAGACGGUUCAGCAGUGGCGCCACCUACCCCAACAUCCCUCUCUCUUCUCCCUUGCCCGGAGUGCCCAAGCCUAUUUUUGCUACAGUUGAUGGACAGGAAAAGUUUGAAACCAAAGUCACCACUCUGGACAAUGGGCUUCGUGUGGCAUCUCAAAAUAAGUUUGGACAGUUCUGUACCUUAGGAAUUCUUAUUAAUUCAGGAUCACGAUAUGAAGCGAAAUAUCUUAGUGGAAUUGCUCAUUUUCUGGAAAA
rnacentral:lncRNA from 1 species